rnacentral:rRNA from 1 species
GCUUACGGCCAUACCAGCCUGGGUACGCCCGAUCUCGUCUGAUCUCGGAAACUAAGCAGGGUCGGGCCUGGUUAGUACUUGGAUGGGAGACCCCCUGGGAAUACCAGGUGCUGUAAGCA